rnacentral:tRNA from 1 species
GGUCUAGUAGCUCAGCUGGAUAGAGCAACGGCCUUCUAAGCCGUAGGUCUCAGGUUCGAAUCCUGACUAGAUCAC